GGUUGUCUUCAUUGCAUGUAGUAUUUUGUUGCCGACAAACUCUCCGUAGUCACCUCAUUUGCAACCUUUAAAAUGUUUGAGUCCAUUAAAAUACCACAAUGACAAUUUAACAACUUGAAAUCUAAGCAUUGACCAGUGGAAGAAGAAACUCCAGCAUAGGAAUGCAAAGUUAUAAAUUAUUGUCACAAUGGGUAUUAAUGUAUAUUGUAUGGGAUACAAAGAAAUUUAGGAACAUUGAAUGUCAGAGAAAUAACUAUGGAAAUAAAUGUAAUGAUUUUAUUGUACUGAGUAGCAA